rnacentral:rRNA from 1 species
GCAAUGCCGCGUGCAGGAUGAAGGCCUUCGGGUUGUAAACUGCUUUUGUACGGAGCGAAACGGUCUACCCUAAUACGGUGGGCUAAUGACGGUACCGUAAGAAUAAGCACCGGCUAACUACGUGCCAGCAGCCGCGGUAAUACGUAGGGUGCGAGCGUUAAUCGGAAUUACUGGGCGUAAAGCGUGCGCAGGCGGUGAUGUAAGACAGAUGUGAAAUCCCCGGGCUCAACCUGGGACCUGCAUUUGUGACUGCAUUGCUAGAGUACGGUAGAGGGGGAUGGAAUUCCGCGUGUAGCAGUGAAAUGCGUAGAUAUGCGGAGGAACACCGAUGGCGAAGGCAAUCCCCUGGACCUGUACUGACGCUCAUGCACGAAAGCGUGGGGAGCAAACAGGAUUAGAUACCCUGGUAGUCCACGCCCUAAACGAUGUCAACUGGUUGUUGGGUCUUCACUGACUCAGUAACGAAGCUAACGC